ACCAGUCCACCACGACACUAGCUAGCUCGUUCGUCCAAACGUCCACCAGCGAGAAGGCAGCAGCCGCCAGCAACCAGUUCGUCACUGCCUAAACCUAACCUAAUCCAUUAGCAGUUCGGCACUGCGGGUCUACGGCGGCCGGCGGCAGCAGUACUACGGAGCCCCCAGCCAGCCCCAGGUUGCGGCAGCGGCAGCAGGUGGCCAGGUUGCGGCAGCGGCGCCCUGGGACCUGGUCGGCCGACCCUGCUCGAGUGCUCGGCGUCACAGCUUCUCCUUUCUACGUGCAGCGGUUCACAGGUUCAGGCAUUCAGCGCCACGCCGCCGUCGCCCCCAAGCCAGUGUUCAGCGCUCAGGGUGCCUUGGAAGUACGCUAGCUUGUUGUCAUGAAGAAGUCAUUCAAGUUCCUUCCACUGAAGUUGGUGCAUAAGGCUGCAACACCAUCUAGUGGAGGGUGUUCUGGACAAAGAAAGCUUGUACCUUAAAAUAGGAGGAUACAAGAAGCUGGAGUGGUUGUCUGAAGGCUUUUGAACUGCUUGAAGCAUUAGUGUAGCUUUGGUGCUUUUGUGACUGAUCAACUCUGGAGCAGCUAGAGUGAUAUAGUUGUGGGCUUUUGAACAAUAGUUGGAGUGAUAUGAAACAUUAGUGAUCUAGCUGUGAAUGAUAUUAUAAUUGUGAUGCUUUUGUGAAUAUAUAAUUGUUGUGCUUUUGUGUUUA